AAAGGCAGCACCUCAGUCGUCCAGAGUAGGAGAAGAAAAUGAAAAAGGAGAUGGGGUGCACGCAUUCCUAGAACCUGGGUCCACUGGUUCCUCAAUCCAGAAAAGUAAAGAUGAUGCAGCACUCCACAAUAAUGCAUAAGGUGGUGUUUAUUCCAGCAUGUGCAAAGACAACGUUUCACCAGUCUCUCACUGGCUUUCUCAAGUAACUGAUAGUGACAUAGACCACCUACACACCGGGUACUUGCCAUGAUGCCGACCACCUAUUCGGAGUUCACUCCAUUUCUAUCAUUGGAUUCCACACUGGACUAUAUAAUCUACUCAUUCACCUUUCCUCUUCUUAUUAUGCGUUUUACUACCCAGAGCGCACCCCAGUUGGUACCGGUACACGCACAGUGAUCUGGAGCAUGGGAUCGGUUCAUAUACACCGACAGCUCAACGAAAUUAUGAUGGUUGACAGGACCUGCGGUCG